rnacentral:lncRNA from 1 species
CACCACCACCUGCGGUAAUCUCCCGAGCAUCUGCCACUGGAGGUGACUCACCUGGGGCUGCUGUCACCAAACAGCUUAUCAGAGGUGAACGGACUAAUUAUUCCUGCUCCUCCUGAUGAUAAGAGGAUCCACUGCCAUCCCGCUCUUUGUCCGGCUCUUCCGCGUUGCGCUGGGCUGUCACAGUGGGGUUGGGGUAGGUGGAGGAGGAAAGGAGGAGAGUUUGAGCUCUCGGGUCACUCGGUCUGUGUGUCCCCGGCAGCCCCGGGUCACGGCUGGCACUGCUGCCCAAGUUAAAGGGAAGGCAAGUGGAUGUCCAUGGAAGAAUACCCCAGGCUGCAAGGGGGGGACCACGGGGUCAUCUCGGGGAUGGCUGAGGUUCAUGGAUCUGUGAUUAUCCAGGAAUAAUCGAUCCCUCCAGGAGGGAGUGGUUUGCCUUAGUCUGGCAGGAUGGGAGGAAGGUUGAGGUGUGCAGGAGCCAGUGCCCCAGCAGGGUGAGGGUGGCCCAGGGAGCAGGCUGGGACUGGGGACACUGCUGGCUGCCCUCUGCACAGUCGUGCUGGAGGUGCUGGGUGUGCAGGAUGUGCCGAGCAGCUAAUUACCCCCUUCUCCUGUGGUAAUCCAGCUUUCCCAACGGUCCUGCUGCCAGACUGCGGAGCACCCACGGCCUGCAACUCCUCAGGGAGCUGUGCCAUCCUUGUGGCAGCUCACCCCUGCCAGCAGGGAUCCUGCCCGCUCCCACAGCCUGGCCAGGGAUCCACCUAUGGCUCUGCAGCCACAGGAGGUGGAUUUCCCCCUCUCUACAAACAGGAGUUGAGUCCCAAGUGACGCUCUGGUUUGGGGCUUGGAGAAGAUGAUCAAAUAGAGCUUUGGACCAGUGGGCCAGGACUGGUGCCCAGCCUCGCUGCAGUGAGGCAGCUGUGUCACCAGGAGACGAGGGGACAGGCAGGACGUGCCAGGCUCCAGCACAGACAGGGCUCUGCAGCAGCAGCCUCCAGCCCGGGAUAACCGGGAGCAGCUCCGGUGACACAACAGCGGGACAUGGACCCCCCGACAGGACAAGAGCCCAUCAAGGUGAUCGGGGUUGUCCUGGGCAUCGGGCUGGCCCUGAUGAUCCUGGCGAGUUUUGGCUACAGCUGCAUCCGGUGGUACCGGAGGGGCCACUCCCGGCGCCGGCCCGACUUUGUCUUCAACCUCUACCACUCACGGUGAGUGAUGCCCUGGGGGGACCAGGGGCAGGAGGGCUCCCUUUGUGCAGUGCCAAGGUGUCACCCCCUGCUCCCCAGUCCCAAAUCCCCCAGUUCUGCUGUUGGCAGGGGGCUGGCAGGGGUUGGAGGGGGACUGGCAGCUUGGUGACCUCUCUGCUUUCCCUGCAGCGGGCUGGGGUCAGUGGCACUGGAGCUGGUGCCACCAUUCAGCAUCAGUGGCUCACUGGGAACCUCGGGCUAUGAGCCCUUCCACAACCAGGGGCCAUGAGGCUUUGGUUUGUGUUUCCUUCCCUGCUGUCCCUGGGAUGGGACGUGUGGCCAGGGACAGAGGGAUGGGGAGAAGCUCUUGCAGCGCUUCCUCUCUCUGCCUCUCUCACUCACAGCCUGGCACCAACAGAAAAAGCAACCAAAACCAGCUGGGGAGGAUUCCUGUAUUUUCACUUCUGCAAGAAACAUCUCCUGAAUUGGUUGAAUUUCAAAUGAAAUGGCAACGGUGCAGUUUCUGUUGCUAAAAAAGCUUCACAGAAUGACAGAAUCGCUGUGACCUCUGCAGACCAUCUGGGCCAACCCUACCCAAGGUCACCUGGAGCAGGUGACGCAGGAACACAGCCAGGUGGGUUUGGAGUGUCUCCAGAGAGGGAAACUCCAUAAAUUCCCUGGGCAUCUCCUCCAUCUGCAGUUGUCACUGGCUCUCUGCAGCCAGGGGUGCACAGGGGGGCCUGUGGCCAGGGAGAGGGACCCUGCUUGGCCAGGGAGAGGGACCCUGCUUGGCCAGAGGGGGCUGGCGAGGCACAGGGGGCCUUGGGACCAUCUCUUCGCCAGUUUCUGUCAGAAGAAGAACAAAGAGAAACUCAAGAGAGCCACGUGGUUGGAGGGAAACCAGUGAGGAUAGAGUGGGAUUUCCAGCGAGUCAGAGGGACCAUCUGUGCUCUCGGCUAUCAAAGAUAAACCCUGUGGUCUGUGGCUUUCUCCUGGCUGAAAGGAGAUCUCUGACUGCUCCUGGAGAGGGGGAAAUGCCCCCUCCUGGGGCCUGGGAGCCCUCUGUGGUGAGCAGGAUCCAGCAGAGCCCUGCAUGACGCAGGAUCCAGCCAUGGGGCCUGACGUCAGCGGCCUUUCAAAGAACAACAAAAAAAAGCCGUGUUUUUGACGACUCCGUUUUCCAGAGGAAGUUGAAAAAAAUAAAAAAGAAAGCAAAAAGCUCUAACCCCCGAAA